rnacentral:rRNA from 1 species
AAUCAACGCUGGCGGCGUGCCUAACACAUGCAAGUCGAGCGAGAAAGGGUAGCAAUACCUGAGUAAAGCGGCGCACGGGUGAGUAACACGUGGGUAAUCUGCCCUGGAGUGGGGAAUAACACCGGGAAACCGGUGCUAAUACCGCAUACGAUCACGAUGUCUGCGGAUGUUGUGAUGAAAGGAGCAAUUCGCUCCAGGAGGAGCCCGCGGCUGAUAGCUAGUUGGUGAGGUAAUGGCUCACCAAGGCAACGAUCAGUAGCCGGUCUGAGAGGACGGUCGGCCACACUGGAACUGAGACACGGUCCAGACUCCUACGGGAGGCAGCAGUGGGGAAUUUUUGGCAAUGGGCGAAAGCCUGACCAAGCAACGCCGCGUGGGUGAUGAAGUAUCUCGGUACGUAAACCCUUUACGACGGGGAAGAAACCGCAAGGUUGACGGUACCCGUAGAAGAAGCCCGGCCAACUCCGUGCCAGCCGCCGCGGUAAC